AUGGGGCUUUGGACCUUUAAUCAGGCAUUAGCACGCCGAGAGCUGAUGAGGAUGAUAGUGUUGCAUGAAUUGGCAUUCUCAUUGGUGGAGUAUGAUGGAUUUAGAAGAUUUGUCUCUAGUCUAAAUCCCAGCUUCAAGAUGAUAUGUAGAAAAACAGUGAAGGAGGACUGUAUGAAAGCAUUCAAGGAAGAGAAGAGAAUUAUGUUCCAAAACUCCAAAUCCAAGAUUUCUUUGACCACGAACUUGUGGACAUCAAAUCAGAUAGUGGGGUACAUUUGCAUCACAGCUCACUUCAUUGAUGAGGAGUGGAAGCAGCAGAAGAGGAUAGUUAAAUUUGCCGCUAUGGAGACGCCGCACACAGGAGCUGCAAUGUUCAACAUCAUGGUGAAUUUCAUACGAGAGUGGAACAUUGAAGAUAAUCUCUUUGCUGUGACGCUAGACAAUGCAUCGAAUAAUGGUGCAAUGAUGAAGCUAUUGAAGGCACAUCUCCUGCUUAAGAAGAUGUUACCUGGUGGUGGCAAGUUGUUUCACCAACGUUGUGCCGCCCAUGUCAUAAAUCUGAUAUGUCAAGCAGGAUUGAACUUCUUUGGUACAAUGAUCAACAUGAUACGUGAAACUGUGAAAUACAUUCGAAGCUCACCAAGUCGAAAGGAAAAAAUUUAA
rnacentral:rRNA from 1 species